GUCAGUGGUGAAAAGAGUGGGUGUAGUUACUUACCAUCGUUUCUUCUGGAGGGUCUUCAAGAGGGAAAGAUUAGCAUCUCAUCCCUAAUCAGAAAGGUGAUCAGCACCACAAAAGCCCCGGUGGUCAUUGGUGCCUACAGCCAAGCUGUGCUAGUGGACAGACCAUUUGCAUGUCUAGACAGGUAGGCAUGGAUCCUUCCAGUGGACAGCUUGUUCCAAGAGGGGUAAUAAAAGAAGCUAAGCGGGCCUUUAAAAACGUGGGUGAGAUUCUUAAAGCUGCAGGUUGUGAUUUCACUAAUGUGGUGAAAACAACUGUUUUACUGGCUGACAUAAACAUAUGUCCAGGGUAGCCUUCCUGCCAGGGCUGCUUACCAAGUCACUGCUUUACCCAAAGGAAGUCUAACUGAAAUCGAAGCAAUCGAUGUCCAGGGACCUUUCGUCACUGCAUGACUUUAAGUAGCUAUGCUGAUGUUGACUCUGGAGUUUUUAGAAUGUCUUUCACACUUUAAUUUUUACAAAUGAUGCUGGGAAGUAUAAACAUGACCAGAGUGGUUGAAGCUACCAUGGAAAUGACCAAUUAUGUGGAGAUUUGACAUUAAUUGGAGAUUAUUCAGUACAGAGACUGAUGCUCUAAUUUCAAUUAUGUUGCUGGGUGUGAGAGAAGAGAUGCACAGCUACUGAGAUGGGGAGCAGAAGGAAAGAUGAGCUAUUGUACAUGAGAAAUAGUAAGGAGCACACCUACUUAAAUCAUAUUAAUUUGCUCAUGUGAAAUACUUAGUUCUCGGGGGGUAGGAUAUAGGGGACUUUUGGGAUAGCACUGGAAAUGUAAAUGAAGAAAAUACCUAAUAAAAUAAAUAAAUAAAUAAAUAACAAUAUCAUUUUAAAAAAAGAAAAGAAGUACUUAGUUCUCAUUUUAGACAUAAGAAACUAAAUUAAAAUAUUCAAACUUGAAUAGUACCAGAACAAGUGGACCAAAAUAUUAUACCAAUAAUAUUGCUUUAAUAGAAACAAAAAAUAGAUGUGCAACUUAAAAAA